UGGGUUACGACUCCAUUAUUGUCUAUUAACUUCUAUCAGAUUGUGCACUGAAUAACAAGCUGGUGGUGAACAGUGAGGAUGAAUACAGAGGCUUUAGUUUCAGUCGGGCACCAACACUCAGCAGUAGGCUGAUGAUGGAGACGAGAUCUGCUGCCGUGUCCUCAAACAAGACACAUUAUGAGGACAUGGAUCACAUCAGAAAGAGACUGUGUUGGGAAUACAGUAUAGAUUUAACAUAAAGAGCACCGAUCUCUUUUCUUCAGUGUGUGUGAGCUGCUGGAACAUCCUGUCACACUCCGUCUCUCUGUGGAAUAAGAACCAGCAGGUGACACAGACCAUCAGCUCCACUACAUGAGUGUAGAAACCAGAGGAGCUCCGUCAGUGGAGCUGAGCUGAGCCUCAUGUGGUCGUUCAGUCCAGACUGGACUCGGUGCUCGUGUCCUCCGCUGGACUCUUGGCAGUCAGUAACUACUUCUUGACUAAGCUGCUCUCAGUCAGCAGUUCUCCUCAGAUCAACAUCACAGUAUCUGAACACAACUGUGUGAAACAUCAAGGACCAGUGAACAUCUGACUCGUUCUGCAGCUCGUUUGCUUUGUACCAGACUGUGAAGCUGCAGCGCUCUAACUGAGACAAAAGGCCUGAUGGGAAACAUCUUCACCAGAUAUUCAUUUAGAGGCUUCUUCACUUUCUUCAGACAUCGUUCAACACGGUUCAGCAAAAUGCAGCGUACCAAUACUGAGAGGGUUGGAUCUGUGAAACAGAAUAUACAGAGUGAUAUCAGAGUGAGGAGGUGGAUCCUUCUGGGAAACACUUUGUUCAAAAUGCAUUAAGAGAAAACUGCUGAUCCUCUUAAACCAAGAUUCAUUUAUAAUGAGUAGGAACAGAAGAAGGAACAGGAAGUUGUUGACAGAUUUAAACUUCAC